CAGCCGCCGCGGUAACACGAAGGGUGCAAGCGUUAAUCGGAAUUACUGGGCGUAAAGCGUGCGCAGGCGGUUCGCUAAGACAGUUGUGAAAUCCCCGGGCUUAACCUGGGAACUGCAUUUGUGACUGGCGGGCUAGAGUAUGGCAGAGGGGGGUAGAAUUCCACGUGCAGCAGUGAAAUGCGUAGAGAUGUGGAGGAAUACCGAUGGCGAAGGCAGCCCCCUGGGCCAAUACUGACGCUCAUGCACGAAAGCGUGGGGAGCAAACAGGAUUAGAUACCUCCGUAGUCCCUGUCUCUUAUAC
rnacentral:rRNA from 1 species